rnacentral:rRNA from 1 species
ACGGCAGCACGGGUGCUUGCACCUGGUUGCGAGUGGCGAACGGGUGAGUAAUACAUCGGAACAUGUCCUGUAGUGGGGGAUAGCCCGGCGAAAGCCGGAUUAAUACCGCAUACGAUCUACGGAUGAAAGCGGGGGACCUUCGGGCCUCGCGCUAUAGGGUUGGCCGAUGGCUGAUUAGCUAGUUGGUGGGGUAAAGGCCUACCAAGGCGACGAUCAGUAGCUGGUCUGAGAGGACGACCAGCCACACUGGGACUGAGACACGGCCCAGACUCCUACGGGAGGCAGCAGUGGGGAAUUUUGGACAAUGGGCGAAAGCCUGAUCCAGCAAUGCCGCGUGUGUGAAGAAGGCCUUCGGGUUGUAAAGCACUUUUGUCCGGAAAGAAAUCCUUGACUCUAAUACAGCCGGGGGAUGACGGUACCGGAAGAAUAAGCACCGGCUAACUACGUGCCAGCAGCCGCGGUAAUACGUAGGGUGCGAGCGUUAAUCGGAAUUACUGGGCGUAAAGCGUGCGCAGGCGGUUUGCUAAGACCGAUGUGAAAUCCCCGGGCUCAACCUGGGAACUGCAUUGGUGACUGGCAGGCUAGAGUAUGGC